rnacentral:rRNA from 1 species
UACGUAGGGUGCAAGCGUUGUCCGGAAUUAUUGGGCGUAAAGAGCUCGUAGGCGGUCUGUCGCGUCGGCUGUGAAAUCCCGAGGCUCAACCUCGGGUCUGCAGUCGAUACGGGCAAACUAGAGUAUUGCAGGGGAGACUGGAAUUCCCGGUGUAGCGGUGAAAUGCGUAGAGAUUGGGGAAGAACACCGGUGGCGAAAAGCGCUCUGCUGGGUCAUAUCUGACACUGAGGGACGAAAGCUAGGGGAGCGAAAGGG